CAGCAGCUCCCUCCAGCAAGGGAAUAAAAGAGGCCUGGGGGACCCCCUGCCCAGCUUCAGGCCUCGGGGAGCAGAACCGGCGCCUCCACCAUGGCCUGGACCCCUCUCCUGCUGGGCCUCCUGGCUCACUGCACAGGCUCCGUGGCCUCCUACGAGCUGACCCAGGCCCCCUCAGUGUCCGUGUCCCCAGGAGGGACGGCCAGGAUCACCUGCGGGGGUGACAACAUUGGAAGUAAAAAUGUUUAUUGGUACCAGCAGAAGCCCACCCAGGCCCCCAGGCUGCUCAUCUAUGAAGACAGCAAACGGCCCUCAGGGAUCCCUGACCGGUUCUCUGGCUCUAACUCGGGCAACAUGGCCACCCUGACCAUCAGCGGGGCCCGGGCUGAGGACGAGGCUGACUAUUACUGUCAAGUGUGGGAUGAUGGUCAGCCCAAGGCCGCACCCUCGGUCACCCUCUUCCCGCCCUCCUCCGAGGAGCUCAGCGCCAACAAGGCCACAGUGGUGUGUCUCAUCAGUGACUUCUACCCCGGCGCCGUGACGGUGGCCUGGAAGGCAGACGGCGCCCCCGUCACCCAGGGCGUGGAGACCACCAAGCCCUCCAAACAGAGGAACAACAAGUACGCGGCCAGCAGCUACCUGAGGCUCUCCCCCAACGCGUGGAAGUCUCACAGCAGCGUCAGCUGCCAGGUCACGCACGAAGGGAGCACCGUGGAGAGGACGCUGGCCCCCAGGGAGUGCUCUUAGGCCCCGAGCCCCCGCCCCUGGGCGCCUGGACACACAGGCCUCCGGGGAGGGUCUCCCUCACCCCGCGCUCCCCCCAGCCCUCUCCCUGCUCCUCAUCAAUUCGCAAUAAAGGGCCCUCCUUGCCCAUCA